rnacentral:tRNA from 1 species
GGCUCCAUGGUGUAAUGGUGAGUGCUCUGGACUCUGAAUCCAGCGAUCCCAGUUCAAGUGUCGGUGGAACCU